AUCCUUUAGACCUUCGGAA
rnacentral:snRNA from 1 species